GUUUUAAUAGUUUAUUUAAAAAUAUUGAUUUUGUAAAUCAAAGAAAAAAUUAUUUUUUUUAAAA
rnacentral:tRNA from 1 species